rnacentral:lncRNA from 11 species
UGAUGAAGUUAUACAACUACACAAAGGCAAGGUCAUAUGAUCACUCCAGUACAAGAUGGAAAAGAGACAAAAUGUUCCUUGACUGAACAAGACAAAAGGUCCUACUAUUAUGUUUCAGGGAACAAUCUUCCCAGCUCCCAGUUUUGACCCUGUCAUGGAUGCCCAGAUGUUAGGAGGAGCUCUACAAGGAAUGGGUAUGUCGGUUGUUGCUGUUGUUGCUGUAUG